rnacentral:lncRNA from 1 species
CUUUCCUACGCUAAAAACCACUGAGUGGAGUAUUUAGUACACAGGAAGUCGGCCAGAGAAACAUUUCUCAUAUUUGAAGGCCGGAAAGAGGGACAUUUCUGACACCGGAAGUCAGUGAGAGGACUCUUUCCCACACAGGAAGUCAGCUAGAGAGCCGUCUCCCCUCUCUGGAGCCGAGAGAGGCCGGUUUCCCCCACCAUAGCAGGGCUGGGAGAAAGGGAUGGGGAGAGUCCCUCCUGCCACUGACCCAGGAUGGAUAAAAGUACCCCUUUCAUAGAAGGAAGAAAAUGGGAACAAAGGUGCUGCUGAUCAUCUGAGGUUGCCUGCAUGGCAGUGAAGAACAUGGACCUUUGGGUAGCCCACCUGGGAGGAAUUUUCCAGAGAUCACUGUCUGAUGACCCUGUCUUGGAAUUGGAGCCAUGCAAGUUACACUGACCACGUUUGGGUUGGGAUAUUGAGGAGGUUAUGGUUAAAAGCAUACGAUGGGAGAUCAUAUUGUACUUGCGAGUGAGACCCGGCUGGAGGAAUGUUUUAAUUCUUCGGAAAUACCAAGUGGUCUCUACAGAACACUGAAGAUUCUGCUCUCAGGGUGUUGAUUGACGUCUGGAAGGCAGAGACUCGUGGAUUAGCAAGCAUGUGUAAGAAAGUGCUCUGGAUGCCACAGGGUGGUAAUUUGUGCAUGGAAAAUGGCUGGGGUGAAGAGGAGACUAGGCUUUAUCUUGUCAGGUGGUCUCUGUGGUUCCAGUACCCAUGAGGGAGCUGAGUCUGAAGGACCUUGGAGCUUUGCAGAUAUAAAGAAAAAGCUGAUUUAAGCUUCCCCAGUUUUCCCUGCCCCCUUCAUGAAAGAAUUACAGCAUAUAAUAAGAAAAAUCUGGAGAAACACUUAUUUUUAUGG